rnacentral:rRNA from 1 species
AUUUUGGGCAAUGGGCGAAAGCCUGACCCAGCAACGCCGCGUGGGUGACGAAGGCCUUCGGGUUGUAAAGCCCUUUUCUGAGGGAAGAUGAUGACGGUACCUCAGGAAGAAGCACCGGCUAACUACGUGCCAGCAGCCGCGGUAAUACGUAGGGUGCAAGCGUUGCCCGGAUUUAUUGGGCGUAAAGGGCGCGCAGGCGGCCCGGCGCGUCCGCGGUGAAAGCUCCCGGCUCAACUGGGAGAGGUCCGCGGAAACGGUCGGGCUGGAGCAAGGUAGGGGGUCGUGGAAUUCCCGGUGUAGUGGUGGAAUGCGUAGAGAUCGGGAGGAACACCAGUGGCGAAGGCGGCGACCUGGACCUUUUGCUGACGCUGAGGCGCGAAAGCGUGGGGAGCGAUC